UUGCCAGCCGCCGCGGUAAUACGGAGGGUGCAAGCGUUAUCCGGAUUCAUUGGGUUUAAAGGGUGCGCAGGCGGAUACUUAAGUCAGUGGUGAAAUCCCGGGGCUCAACCCCGGAACUGCCAUUGAUACUGAAUAUCUGGAAUACGGUUGAAGUGGGCGGAAUGUAGCAUGUAGCGGUGAAAUGCAUAGAGAUGCUACAGAACACCGAUCGCGAAGGCAGCUCACUAAGCCGAUAUUGACGCUCAGGCACGAAAGCGUGGGGAGCGAACAGGAUUAGAUACCCUGGUAGUCCACGCCGUAAACGAUGAUAACUCGUUGUUGGCGACACACAGUCAGCGACUAAGCGAAAGCGAUAAGUUAUCCACCUGGGGAGUACGAUCGCAAGGUUGAAACUUAAAUGAAUUGACGG
rnacentral:rRNA from 1 species